GACCCUAAUGUGCUGAGCCAGUUUCCUGAAGAUUACAGUGACCAGGAAUCUCUACAGAGCCUGCCCAAAUUCUGCUUUCCUUUUGAUGUGGAACGGGUAUGGGAGAGCUCAGUCGUCCAGCAGUUCACCUUCGUGCUGACAGAUCUAGAUGGAAACCAGCGGUUUGGCUUCUGCCGGCUGACUGGGGGGUCAAAGACGUGCAUCUGCAU